GAUGAAGAACGCAGCGAAAUGCGAUAAGUAGUGUGAAUUGCAGAGUUCAGUGAAUCAUCGAAUCUUUGAACGCACAUUGCGCCCCUUGGUAUCCCGAGGGGCAUGCCUGUUCGAGCGUCAUUUCACCACUCAAGCCUGGCUUGGUGUUGGGCGACGUCCCCUUUAGGGACGCGCCUCGAAACGCUCGGCGGCGUGGCACCGGCUUUAAGCGUAGCAGAAUCUUUCGCUUUGGAAGUCGGGGCCCCGCCUGCCGGAAUACCUACUCGUAAGGUUGACCUCGGAUCAGGCAGGGAUACCCGCUGAACUUAAGCAUAUCAAUAAGCGGAGGA
rnacentral:misc_RNA from 1 species